GACGUAGGGGGCCAGCGUUGCUCGGAAUUACUGGGCGUAAAGGGUCCGUAGGCGGUGCGGUAAGUCGGGAGUGAAAUCUCUGGGCUUAACUCAGAGGCUGCUUCCGAAACUACCGUGCUAGAGUGCGAGAGAGGCAAGUGGAAUUGCGGGUGUAGCGGUGAAAUGCGUAGAUAUCCGCAGGAACAUCCGAGGCGAAAGCGGCUUGCUGGAUCGCAACUGACGCUGAGGGACGAAAGCUAGGGGAGCAAACAGG
rnacentral:rRNA from 3 species